UGGCGAAUCUAGGGACGGAGGUCAGCUAGGGCGGAUAUUGACUGACAAUGACCGUUGACCAUUGACCGUUAACAAUCAACAAUUGUAAUAGCAAUGUCGUUUAUUAAUAUCUAAUUAAAAUCUGGAUAGAAAAGAAAAUGUCAAGAAAAAUGCAUCAGGCAACCAGAUGAGUAGCUAGCAAAUACGAACGUUGUGCAAAGGCAUAGCAAAAGAAACCGGCAGCCAACCACCAGAGCACUAGAAGCCUUUGCAAAUGGAUACAUCACCGUGAACUUGAGACAGAAAAGAAAGAGUCGUCAAGCAACCAGAGGUGCAGCAAUAGAGACUUCAAGAAUUUGCAGUUGUGGCUACUAUUAGGAGGCUGCAGUCGGAUUCAAGAGAGAUUCAGUCUUCUGUGAGAGAGAUGAUGAAUUUGGAUGGUGAUGGAGAAUGGAAUGAGAUGAGGAUGGAAAAUCAGGGUUUAGUUGAGAGAUUUGAGGGAUUAAUAUAAGUUAAUUGGGGGUGAUUGGAUGUAAGAUUUAUGAAUUUUUUAUUGUUUUGAUAGAUAAAUUGUGAGCGUUGGAUCGAUUUAAUUAAAGGCCCCGGAUUAUUUGUCAAAAACGUUUGUCAAAUUCACGUGUCUAAGGAACGGCCCCAAAACAUAAAUUACUUAUCAUAAAUCACAAUCAAACAAAUAGGACAUACAAGAUUGAUAACAUUAUCCACGUACAUACAACUAGCCUACAACAUUCUCUAAGAAAAGGGGAAAAAAAGGGGGAACAAUGAUGCAACAAAACGCACUCUGAAAUUUAAUAGACCAAAUGCAUAUUAAUACAGAUAUGCGAAAAUCCUGCAAAAUAAA